AAGAAGAAAAGUACGGACCCAUAGAUUUUGGUGGUAGAGCAGACGAAGACCACCAGGAGAAACAAUCAGAUGGGUCUCCAGAGUAUCACCCAGGGCCCUACUAUGACCUCAAUGAUGAUGAUGAUGAUCCCUCCAGCUGGCCUUAGGAUCCAUCUUGUUAUCAUAGAUUUCUGAAGGUCUUGCACGACUUAUUUCAACUUUUGUCUUUUAUUUUUAUUUUCCUUAAAGGGUCUUGCAUGAACUCUAUUGAUAUUGUUAUAUGCCUACCAUGAUGUAAUAUUUAGUUCAAGACUUUUCUCUUUGUAACCCGUGGCUUCACACUUUGCCUCUUUUAUUAAUCAAAAUACCUUUGUCCUGAAUUUAAGUACGAUUUAGAACUUUGGAUCAAUUAAUCAUACUUGCAUCGUAGGCCCACUGCUGGUAAAAAGAGGCUCUAUAUUAGGACAUGUUUGGAUGUCGCCAACUUUGUGUAUGUAUGUGUUACUUACUUGUUACAUUUACAUUAUCUCCCAAACUAACAUAGUUUCCCUUUUCUUUUUUAUUUCUUUCUUUUAUUAACUCCCAAAAAAAGAAACUUGAUUUGUGUCAAUUGGAAAACUGGCAGAAUCUCAGUAUAACCUCUGAUCUAGAAACAAAAUGACCAAUAAUGACAAGGCUGUGAUGAUAGCCAUAAAUGAAGCUGAAAGCUUGCAGAAUCUAUCAGACACUCAAAAUGACGAUCAAAUGGACAAUAUGGUGCAAGAAAUCGAAGUGUUAAAGGAAGAGUUGCAUCAAAUGCGAGACUUAACUAAGAUUACCGUUGCCAGCUUUCCCACUCAAUUCCAAGGUACAGAUGUUGGAUUAACCCCUGUUGCCCCAGCUAACCCAACGAAUUGACCACAUGCUCAAGCCCCGCCUACUUUUUAACUUACCAUUGGGACGGCGCCAGGUUAUCUAUUUCCUACUCGUAACUUUACUAUUUCGAUCCAUCCAAAAAUGCUCCACAUACCUGAGGCGUAUGUCACUUGUGAAGUACCUAUGCCACCGAUAUAUGCUACCAAAGUUCCUACCUUCGCAACAUCUACAGCUGUCAAGGUUUUAUAUAAGGUUGAGGGAUACGCAGGAUUAGGAUGGGAUAUGCAGUCAGGUGAAUAAGGGUCGAUAGUAUCCCAAUUCAAAAUUUUAAAGGAGGCAUUCAGAAAUAUGCAAAUCACCAGAGGGACUAAAAGCCUUAUCUACGAUGACUUAUGCAUUCAUCCGGGCAUCAACAUACCAGUGGGAUACAAACCACCAAAGUUUGAUGUGUUUAACGGAAGGGUGACCCGCAUGCACACCUUAGAGCUUAAUGUGAUAAGUUGGUCAGUGUGAGGAGGAAUGAGAAGUUGAGAAUAAAGCUGUUCAUCUGGAGUUUGUCGGGAGAAAAUUUGACUUGGUACACCCAACAAGACCCCCAUAAAUGGCAUGACUGGCGGGAAAUGGCUGAGGACUUUAUGAGUCACUUCAGAUUUAACACUGAGAGUGCCCCAGAUAGGUUCUCAUUGGCAAACAUACAGAAGAAGACAUCAAAAUCAUUUCAAGAGUACGCAUGGCUUUGGAGAACCGAAGAUGCUAGGAUCCAGCCUCUACUGGAAGAAAGUGAGCUCUCCAAGUAUUUUAUACGAGCUCAAGAAGGUGUUUAUUUUGAAAAAAUGAUAUCACUGAUUGGACAAAAGUUUACAAAGUUGGUCAAGAUAGGAGAUUUCAUUGAAAAAGACAUCAAAUCAGGGAAGAUCCAAUCUAUGGCUGCACUUGAGGGAAAGGCCCCUAAUUCGACCUCUCAAACCAUAUCGACUGGUUCCAUUAAUGGCAAUAAGAAAAAGAGGGAAGAUGUGUCAGCCACCACACCAUGCUACAAACUUGUAAAUUCUUCCUACUGUUACCCUAACAUCCCCCAAAUUGUUGCACAUAUCCAGUGUAUAAUACUCAACCGUAUUAUAAUCUACCUUGAGCUCUAGCAUACCAAAAUACACCAAGACCAUACACUCCUGUACAAGCUCCAGCUCACCAAAAUAGACCAGCCUAUGCACCCAGACCACGUCUAAACUUUAAAGCCAGAAAUGCCCAUACCUACACACAAAUUGCAGAACCUUUGGCCCAGUUGUUUGAAAGAUUGAGGGCUGCUGGUUUGUUGCAUCCAAUUGAGGGAAAGGCCCCUGAUUUGACGUCUCAAACCUUUGAUGGUAGCAAGCGGUGCGCCAUCACUCAGGAGUCCAGGGGCAUGACAUAGAAGACUGCUACAGCUUGAAGAAUCAAAUUGAGUCUCUGAUAAGGAGGGGCAUAAUCAAAUACACCGCUGCAUCUCCCAAUAUGAACAACAAUUCCUUGCCAAAUCAUGACAAUCGAGAAGUCAAUAUGAUUACUCUAGAGGAGGAGUAUGAUUUGGAAGAAACUAUUGUGCCCACAUGGAAUGCAGAAGAAAUCGCUACUGCAUCUCCAUCACAACCAUUUAUUACCAUUUAGUUGAGGGAGCCAAUAACUAUUCAGACUUACCUGUUGAGAGUCAUAGUGACCAUAUUAGCCACUGGAAGGUUCGACUAUGACACUAAAACAGUCCCGUGGGACUAUCGAACUGAAGCCAAAGGAAAAAUGAUAGACAUUGCUGUGGCCCAAAGGAUUACCAGGUCAGGAAGGUGUUACGCACCCGAAGAACUAAAUCGUGGAGCUCUCGGGAAAGAUCAAAACCCGAGGAGAAAUAUCACAGAUGCUGAAGCUGUAGAAUUUUGGAAAAACAUUCAGCCCAAGGACUAUUCAAUCGAAGAUCAACUCAAGAAGACAACGACCCACAUAUCCGUAAUGUCUUUGGUUAUGAGUUCUAAAACCCACAGGAAUGCUUUAAUGGAAGUGUUAUGUGGGGUCAUCAUACCAAAGGACACCACUAGCGAGACUUUGGCUGCAACAAUCAGGCGAGUGGUGGAGGCAAAUAAGGUCUCUUUCCAUAAUGAUGAGUUACCAUCAGAAGGGGCGAAACACAAUAAAGUGCUCCAUAUUGUAGUCAGAUAUCAUGACAAGAUUGUGAAUAGGGUCUUGAUCGAUGGUGGUUUGGGUUGUAAUAUUUUUCCGUUCUCUACUCUAAGAGAUUUGGGUGUGAAUAUAGAAGAUAUAAGGGAGAGUCGGGUGAAGGUCCGAGUAUUUGAUGGGUCACAAUGGAGUGUCAUCGAUGAAAUUUACUUGACACUGCAGAUAGGACCAACUGAAUUUCCUAUCCCAUUUCAGGUCAUGGAUGUGUCAUCUAGCUACAACCUGCUACUGGGAGGCCAUGGGUCCAUAUAAAAAGAGUCGUUCCUUCCCCUCUCCAUCAGUACGUAAAGUUUGAAUGGGGUCGCACAGAAUUUACUAUCCAUGGAGAAAUCAGUUAUCCUAUUUAUUCUGUUAAUUCAGUCCCAGUCACCAAGGAGUUAGAUGGCUCCACUUUCCAUACCCUGGAGAUCAUGCAAGCUACCAGGACCGAGGAGAAGAUAUAACCAGCUGAAGGGAAAAUAUCGAGUGCUAAAAAGAUGGUUACGUCAGAGAUGUUGAAAUAUGGGUAUCAUCCCAUGACAGGACUAGGACCUAAAGCUGAUGGUAUAGUCGAGCCAAUCUAACUGAAGCAGCAAAAAGGCACUAUAAGGCUUGGAUAUGAGCUCAUUUCUAGAGAAGCCUGCAGUAAAGGAUUAGGAAUAACAGUAUUUAUUCCAGCCCAAGUCCCAAUUUCAGAGCAAAAAGUUGAUGAAGAUUUCACAGAAGGAAUAGGAAAUCUGUUUGUGGCCAUGAUCAAAGAAGAACCAGAGAGAUAUUUCAAGAAGCUCUCCAUCCAUGAUACCGAGCCUGGAGAAGUUCUGUAGAAUUGGACAAUUAGCCCAUCCCUAUUCCGUCAGGAGUCUUGGUAGUGCGGGAUUGUUGGUGCUUUUUAAAAAUUAUUUUGUUUACAUGAUCAAUUGAGGCUUGAAUCAUGCUGAAGCUCUUUUUUCUACUUGCCUCUUGCCAAAGCCCAGUGCUUUUAUUAAUAAAAGCUCUUAUUUUCAAAAUUAUUUUUUCUAUUUUCAAUAGCUACUUACUUUACUCGCUUUUUAUACUUUUCAGCGCAAAUAUUAAUAAAGAUUUGUGUUCCAUGAUUAUGACAUAUAAUGAAUUCAUUGAGAAAAACACAAGCGAUGAGAAAGAUUAUAAGGAGUACAAUGAAAGCAUAAUGCCUGUAAACCUACCACAGGAGAUCGAGCGACUUGAGAGUUAGAAGAAGCCUAAUAUGGACGAAACUAAAGUCAUCAAUUUAGGUGAUGGAGAAAUGGUAAAGGAAACAUGAGUAAGAAUACACUUGGAGGCUGAAAGAAAGUAGGAAUUGAUAAGCCUACUCAAGAAAUACAUCGAUGUUCUUACUUGGUCUUACGAGGACAUGCCUGGUUUAAGCACCGAUACCGUCUCAUAUCGACUGCCCACUAACCCCACAUGCCCAUUAGUAAAUCAAAAAAUGAGGAAAUUCUAACCCGACUUUAGUUUGAGAAUUAAGGAGGAGGUGACCAAACAAAUAGAAGCCAACAUCGUGAGAGUCACAACUUAUUCCACCUGGCUAGCCAACAUCAUGCUAGUACCGAAGAAGGAUGGAAAGAUAAAAAUAUGUGUGGAUUAUCGGGAUCUCAAUAAGGCUAGUCUGAAAGAUGAUUUUUCUCUCCCAAACAUUCAUAAUCUUAUCGAUAACUGUGCUAUACAUGAGUUGCAGUUAUUUGUUGAUUGUUUUGCAGGAUAUUAUCAAAUCCCGAUGGACGAGAAUGAUGCGUAUAAGAUAACUUUUAUUACUCCGUGGGGAGUGUAUUGCUAUAGGGUAAUGCCGUUUGGACUCAAGAAUGCCGAUGCAAUAUACAUGAGGGCCAUGACCACCCUUUUUCAUAAUAUGAUCCACAAAGAGAUUGAGGUGUAUAUGGAUGGCGUCAUUAUCAAGUCCAAAAAGAGUUUGAAUCACCUGAAUGACUUACAAAAGUUCUUCAAAAGGCUGCAAAGGUACGACCUAAAGUUGAAUCCAACUAAAUGCACCUUUGGAGUUCCCGCAUGAAAGUUAUUGGGAUUCACUGUUAGUAGGAGUGGUAUAGAGUUGGAUACAUCCAAGAUAAAGGCAAUUCAAGACUUAUCACCCCGUAAGACCAAAAAGGACAUAAUAAGUUUCUUGGGAAGACUCAAUUACAUUAGUUGGUUCAUAGCCCAGUCCACAAUAAUUUGUGAACCAAUAUUAAGGUUGUUGAAGAAGGAUGCCACCACUGGAUGGACUGAAGAAUGUCAGAAGGCUUUUGAUAAAAUCAAGAAGUAUUUGUCUAACUGAUAACGCUCAACUUACACGUCAAUUUAGUGUAAGGCGGUCGUCGUCAAUAUAUUUACCCAACUUUAGAGUCGGGGUCUAAUCCACAGGGAACAAUGUGAGUGGCGAUUAAACUAGUUUGAAACUAUAGCUACAAGUUGAAUUCAAAUGAAUGAUGCGAAAAGAUAAAGUGGAGGUUUCUAAUGAUCAGCAAAUAAUUGUUGGUCACUAUAGUUUCAGUGUUUGUAAAUCAAAAGUUUAUGAAAUAACCAGAAUUAUGUUCACUAGGGCUUCCAGUACAUGGCAGAUGAUAAAAGUGGGUCAUGCUUGUCACGGUGGAUAGGAUAACAAGCUAUCUUUAUCAAUGUUAUGCUUAAAUGUCUCUCGACCUACUUAAGCAUUUAAUUCCCUACUCUUCUUGGACUUAGGGAAUUUCUAUUUACUUUCCAGAUGUUACCUUAGGUUAACCAAUUUUGUUACAGCGCUGAUUAUUAAAUGAAGUAUUUUCGAGUCCCUAUUGAUAAGUCACGUCCUACUAUAUUUGAUUUCUUUCUCAAGCAAAUCAAAGAAGGUGUGUCUACUGUUUGCAACCAAUAGACAUUAAUUAAAACCUUUGAAUUAUCAAGAAAUCCUACCACCUUUUGAAUCUUGAACACUUAGUACCUUAUCAGGACCUAACUCUAGAUCCCAUAACUUAGGUUAAUGGACUUUAGCCACUCAUGAUGUAAUGAAUGAAACACAUAAUUUAAUUUAUGAUUUGAAAGAUAAACUUACAGAGAUGAAUAAUAACUAGUGAAUCGCAGAUUAUAUCACAAAGAAAAAUCCCAGAAUAAUGAUAAUAAUCUCUUUAAAGUAUUUGUUUUUUCAAGCCAAGAAAUUUAGAGAGAAAAUAUCAAAAGUCUUUUAAAACUCAAGUGCCAACCCCCUAGAAAAACCCUAAAUAAUGCUUUUUAUAGUUAAUCCUAAAUAAGGAAAUAAAGCCACAAAAUUCAAAAAAUCCUUCGGAAUAGGUGACGGCAUUUGUGACGACGUGUCAGGGUCCUGACAACUUAUCAGGAAUGUCGUUAGGCCCUCCAGUAUUCUUGGCAUCUUCUGCUUUAACUGACGACAAAGCUUGACGACUUAUCAGAUACGUGACCACAUAUCACAAAUGUCGUCACUUCUUUAUUCAAAAUUUUAAUCUCUGCCUACACUUGACGGCAACUCUAACACCUUAUCACAGUGUGACGACACGUCAGAAAUGUCAUCACAAUUUCACUAUAAUCUUUCUAACACUGCAACACCUGACGUGAUUUCUGAUAACUUAUCACAGGGCUGACGACUUAUCAGGAAUGUCGUCAGCCACACUUCCAGUUCUUUUACAUCAGUUUUCAGUUCUUUUACUUCCAUUUCCUUAAAUUUCCCUUGCAUCAUGACUUUUACUGCAAUAUCAAAGUAAAAUAAUCAAAAACGAUAAAAGUUGCUUACGACUUCACAAUUAUUCUCAGUUAAAAGCCUUAAAUGUGUUAGCGUCUGCUCACACAUCAACACACUCAACUUAAGACAAUUGGUUGUCCUUAUGCAACCAAAAUAUAACUAAGAGAAUACAAAGUACAAUUUGGCAGUCAAUUUUCUAUAUCAUCCCAACAUAACUUCACCUUUUCCCAGGUCUAUCAAUUCAAACUCAACUGUGUAUACUAUUGAAAAACAACAAUGCAACACACAGGAAUCAAGAUAUGGCAUAAAUUUAGAGUAGCAACCAUGUAUGUACUAAGAUAACACUAUUCGAACAAGUUAGCAACUAGCAACAUAACCUGUGUGCCCUUACAGCAAAAAAAAUCCUUUUUCACUCAUAUCAAAAUUCACAUAUAUACACUUAGGGAUAAUCACGAGACUCACUCUCAAAAUGAAGUUCCACUCAGUGUACAUCAAAUGCCAUAGGCUUGCCCUUAUAGUUAGUACCAAGUUUUUUAGACAGGUCAACUAGAAUCACUAUAGGUCUUUUUCUUGGCUUGUAAUGUAGGCUAGGGCUGGUAUGAUAUUCAAGGGUAUUUAAAGUGACUACACCUCCUUGACAAUACGCUAACCUCUUGGGCUUUCACUUCUUAACCUUUUUCUCUUCCUCCCUUUUAUUGAUCACACAUGCUCAAGGUGGGUGCUAUCUUUUCAAAAACCAAAUUAUCUUUUUCGAUCUUUUAUACAACUUUUUCUUUUCUUAUUCUUUUUGCACUACACCUGGCUUUUUAUUCUUUUCUCUUAUUCUACCUUUCUUCAUAGUUAUUUUGCAUCACACACCCCUAUGAUAGCCACCCUCAACUUAGGAUAUUUUCCUAAGUCAAGGUGCACAGUGUCCAAGGAAGACCAGGGCCAAAAUAGGUUUAUUAUGAAAUAAAUGGGAAGGUGAUAGGUGUCAUGAAAGAAAUAGGCUAUUCAGGCUCAAAAUAGGGAUCAAGGGAUAUUAUGUAUACAGGGAAGGUCAUUUAGUCUAAAAGUGGGCUAAUAUCAAAAUGGCCUAUGAUCCUCUCCUAACCCCUAUCAUACAACCAAGGCAAGACUAACCGGGCAAGUUCUGGAUUCACACACAAAGGGAACUGAGUAAGACCUCACACACACAUGGCACACAAAUAUAUCUCACAUCAUUACUUAUCCAGUUCAUGCAAUUUUUUAGCACUAAUUAUCAAGUUGCUAGAACUAAUGCCACCAAAAGAUGCAUUGUGGUCACAAUUAGAUGCAGUUCACACAAUAUUACAAAUAGACACUUGGAGAGGUGCUUAAAAAUCACAAAACAUAUUAACUGCCUUAUUACUUGUAUUUCUCCUAGUUAACCAUAACACAUCACAAAACAAAUCACAAUAUGCCUAAACAUACUGACUCUACUAAGAACAAGACUCUGAGGAAAAAAAGCACGAUAACAAAAACCCAUAGAGGACAUCAACACCCAUAAGUAGCUUUACCCUCAACUUAAAAUCAUGUAAUGUCCCCAAUGCAUCAAACCAAAACAAGAGAGUUAGAAAUAUACCUGUGGCACUACGGGUGCGAAGAUCUGAUGUCAAUCACAUAAUACGAAUACAGAUAACAAAAUACCUUGGGUUGCCUCCCAAGAAGCGCCUAAUUUAGUGUCGCGGCAUGACUCGGUUAUCUUGACUACUCAGACUUCAUCAAGAUACCUUGUUGAUAAUUAUUUAUGUCUCCACUUAAAGGAUUUGAAACAUCGACCCAACUUUUGAUCAAUACAUCUUCGGGGUGUGUUGGGCAAAUGUGAGGGCAUGAUAAGGAAUGUUCUACCACGCCACUUUGAAGACUUGAACUGCUUACCCAAUUUUGUAUCGAACUUUUGUGUGGGGUCAUUUGGCAAUGGUGAGACUCUUAAACAACCACUAAAUGGACAUCGAUAUUUAAGCUUCUUGGCCUUCCAAAUUGGGGUUCUAGUAUACCCUUUUGGAAGGACAAACUCCAAAAUGUAAGAAUCUUCCUCCUCAUUUUCAAAAUUCAUCAUUUACUUGGGUGAUUCAACUUUUAUCACAUCCACCAAGCAUAAUGUUGAAAAGUGGUUCGAAUGAGGACUAACUCUCAAUUUUGUAGUAGCAUCCCUAUUAGUAUUUUUACCCCAAAAUGGACUAGAGUAUUCAUAAGGAUUGUGCUUGAUUUCUUCUUUUGACUCUAGUACCAUUUCCUCGUAUUUGGCAUCUUUAUUCAUAAAUGGUUCAGUUGGUUGGGAAAUCACCGAGGAUUGCUAAACAUCAAGCUCAUCAUCAACAUCGGAUUCUUUCUCCUCAUCAUCACACUUAUCUAUUAUGUUAAAUGAUUCCACAGACAAGAUAUCAUCUAAACAUACUAUGGAAAAGUGUUUUGAAUGCUUGACCUCUAUGUCCAUAUCCUCUAUCAUUCUUCUUUCAUCAUUAUUUGCCCUUAUGUGUUGAUGUAUAUCACGUAUGAUAUCAUUCGUUGUGUCUGCACACUUAAACAUUAGUUGAAGCAUAGCUUCAAUGCCAUGCUUUUUGGUGUUUUGUUUUUUCUGUUCUUGAUCAUAAGACCUAUCAAAAUCAUAAGAAGAACUAGAAUUUGGGUUAGCAUACUGCGCGGAGGGGGCAUUUGGGCAAUCACCUUAAUGUCCAUCUUGACCACCACAUAACGAACAAUCAUACUCCCGAUAGGAUGGAGAUAGUGCACAUAUCCCCCUUUGAGGAGCAUAUCAGGAAUGUCAUCAGCCACACUUCCAGUUCUCUUGCAUCAAUUUGCAGCUCUUUUGCUUCCAUUUCCUUAAAUUUCCCUUGCAUCAUGACUUUUACUGCAAUAUCAAAGUAAAGUAAUCAAAAACGACAAAAGUUUCUUAAGACUUUGCAAUUAUUCUCAGUUAAAAGCCUUAAAUAUUUUAGCGUCUGCUCACACAUCACUAACCCACCAGUAUUGGUUCUAUCAGAACUGGAAAAGCCUUUGCUGCUAUAUCUAUCUGUUCUGAAUAAUGCCUUUGGACAUGUGUUAGGUCAUCACGGCGAUAUAGGGUAGAAAGAGAAAGCCAUUUACUACCUCAAUAAUAAGUUCACACCAUAUGAAGCAAGGUAUACGUUGUUGGAGUGGACUUAUUACGCAUUGACUUGGGUCGCGCAAAUGGUAAGGCACUACCUAUCUGCGUAUACCACGUACUUAAUUUAAAGAAUGGAUCCACUCAAGUACAUUUUUCAGAAGCCAAUGCCUACUGGAAAAUUGACAAAAUGGCAGAUUUUGUUGAGCAAGUUUGAUAUUAUGUACGUAACACAAAAGGCCAUCAAAGGACAAGCUUUAGCUGAUCACCUGACAGAAAAUCCUGUGGAUCAAGAUUGCAUGUCGCUCAGUACCUACUUUCUUGAUUAAAAAGUGUUGUUUACAGGGAAGACAUCUCUGAGAGGUAUGAUGGGUGAAAAAUGUUCUUUGAUGGAGCAGUGAACUUAAAGGUGUUGGAAUUGAAGCAGUUCUAGUUUCAAAAAUAGAUCAACAUUACCCAAUCUCGGCGAAGAUUAGGUUUCCUUGCAUGAAUAAUAUUGAAGAAUAUGUGGCUUGCAUUCUCUAACUUAGGAUGGAAGUAGACAUGGACAUCAAAGAGCUUUUGGUAAUGGGAGAUUCGGAUUUGCUGAUCCAUCAGGUGCAAGGGGAAUGGACCACAAAGAAUGUCAAAAUCCUUCCUUAUGUGCAAUAUGUCAAGGAGUAAAAUCCUUCCUUAUGUGCAAUGUGUCAAGGAGUUGAGUAAAAGGUUCACGAUGAUUGAGUUCAAGCAUGUCCUUCGAAUUCAAAAUAAGUUUGCUGAUGCCUGGGCGACACUAUCUUCAAUUAUUCAGCAUCCAAAUAAGAAUUACAUCGAUCCCAUCAAAGUAGAGAUACACAAUCAACAAGCAUACUAUUUCUAUGUAGAUAAAGAGCUAGAUGGAAAGCUAUGAUACUAUGACAUCAAGAGGUUACUCGAAGCAAGAGAAUAUCCAGAAGACGUUACUGGAAAGUAGAAGAGGGCUUUAAGAAGGAUGGCCAAUCACUUUUUUCUCAAUGGGGAAAUCCUAUAUAGGAGGACUCCAUACCUAAGAUUGCUGCGAUACGUCAAUGCCAUAGAGGCCAAAAGAUUAUUGGAGGAGAUACAUGCAGGAAUGUGUGGACCGCACAUGAACAGUUUCAUGCUUGCAAAGAAUAUUUUGAGAGCUGGAUACUUUUGGAUGACCAUGGAGAGGAAUAGCAUUUGAUAUGUGCAGAAGUGUCAUCAAUGUCAAGUUCAUGAAGACCUUAUACGAGUUUCGCCAAACGAGCUCAAUGUGAUGGGUUUUUCUUGGCCGUUUGCUUCUUGGGGCAUAGAUGUUAUUGGGCCUAUAAAGCCUCCUGCGUCCAAUCAACACCGUUUUAUCUUGGUCACUAUUGAUUACUUUAUGAAGUGGGUUGAGGCAUCAACACAUAAGGCCAUAAACAAGAAGGUGGUAUAAGAUUUUAUCCGUAACAACUUAGUCUGUCAGUUUGGAAUUCCAAAAUCAAUCAUAACAGAUAAUGGAGCCAAUAUUAAUAGCGACCUGAUGAGAGAGAUUUAUGAAAGUUUUAAAAUCUCUUAUCAAAAUUACAUGGCAUAUCAACCGUAAAAGAAUGGAGUGGUCGAAUCUGCAAACAAGAAUAUCAAGAGGAUCUUAAGAAAGAUAGUGGACGGUAAUUGGGAAUGGCAUGAGAAGUUGCCAUAUGCUUUACUUGUACAUCAUACCACAAUCAAAACUUCUACUGGGGUAACUCUCUAUAUGUUGGUUUAUGGUUCAGAAGCAGUGAAACCUGCAGAAGUUGAGAUACCUUCAUUAAGAAUCAUCCAGGAGGUUGGUCUAGACGACGCUGAAUGGAUUCGUAGCAGGAUCGAGCAGUUGAUGCUCAUUGAUGAGAAAAGAUUGGAUGCAGUCUAUCAUGGUCACCUUUAUCAAAAUAGAAUGAUCAAGGCAUUUAACAAGAAAGUCAAGCCUCAUCGAUUCAAGCCAAGAAAAUUAGUAUUGAAGAAGAUAUUCCCUCACCAAUAUAAAGCCAAUGGGAAAUUUGUGCCAAAUUGGCAAGGCCCUUACAUAGUUCACCGAGUACUUUCAGGAGGGGCAGUGAUCCUUGCAGAAAUGGAUGUCAUAGUGAGCACGAAGCCGAUCAAUUCAGACUCCAUCAAGAAGUACUAUAUUUGAAGACAGUAGGAUUAGUUGUCAUUUCUUUGUACUUUCGCAUUUUUUCUCUAAUGUAACAGAACCAUGUAUUAGCCUGACUUCCCACGGCGAGAGAAGUAGGCAGCCCACAUCGGGUUUGAUUUCCUUAGAAAACUCAAAACAUCAUCCUUCCAUGUAUUCAGAACUACGCUCGACCUGACUUCCUACGAUGGGAUACGUAGGCAAUUCUCAUCAAAUUCGGUCCCUUCAUAUUUUUACCUUUUCAUUGUACUGAACUAUGACCUAACCUGAUUCCAAUUGGAUACGUAGGCAGCCUAAGUCAGGACCAGUCAUUGCAUUAUUUUACUUUAUCUUUUGUAUCGAACUACAGUAUGACCUGAUUUCUAUUCUUAGGAUACGUAGGCAGCCUGAGUCGGGAUCGGUCACUGAACUGCAUAUUUUCACUUUUCUUAUUGUAAUUGAACUACAUCAUGAUCUGAUUCCACUUGGAUACGUAGGCAGUCUGAGUCAGACUCGGUCCUUGUAUUACAUAUUUCCUUCUACACCUUCGAACUACAUAUAGACCUGAUUCCUAUUUUAAGAAUACGUAGGCAGCCUAAAAGGUUAGGUCUUAACUUUAAGGAAAUCCCAUAUCGCUCAUAGUAUAGCAUCAGAAUAUAAGAGAUCUCGCCACCAGAACCAUCGUAGCAUCAACAUUCAAAGAAGCUCCACCCGAAGGAUAAAGCUACAUGGAUCAGAAUCAACAAAUGGAGGCUUAACGGAUUUCCGAAUGUGUCAUAAUCUAAAGUGAUUAAGGAUUUCUAUAUAUACUUAAUAUAUACGUAAUGUAUUUGCGAAAACAUAUAUAUAUAUAUGUAUUUUCACUAUACUUUCACAACUUUUCCACCUACUGAGACUCCACAUUUGGGACUUAUCGAGCAACUAAGGGAGUGUUGGAGAAUUCCGCAAACAAAGCCAGGAUCCCCAAGUCGACACAAAUCAACACCCCCUUCCAACUAAGAAUUUUUUCUUUGGGCAUAGGAAAACAGGAAUUAGAAGACGACAUCAAGUCAAGCUUUAGAAUAGGAUCAGGGGCAUCAUGCUGCUUACCACCACGACAUAAGCCCAAUAUUAUUCCCUUACUUCAUUUUCUUUACAUAGAUUUAUGCUAAUCCUCACAAACUCUAAGAAUUUUAUUCGAAUUCUUUCACAGUACAUUCUUAAGACCUGGGUCAGAAACGAAGAAAAGAGGAUUCUCAUAGAAAGAUUAGGCUAUUUACUUCCCACAAUAAACUCCGCAAUUGGAGCUAACCACCUGACUGCGUUGAAUAACUUCACCAAUCGAAGAAUCAUCAUCUAACUGCGUCAAAUAACUCCGCCAAUUGGAGAAUGUUGUCGGACUUUAACGAAGUCAAGUUUCUACGUUCCGAGGUUUGUACAUAAGAAAAUAAAGUCAAGCUUCUGCUUUUUGAAGACUGUACAUAAGCAAGAAAAAUGACCCUCUGCCAUAUCAGAGGAUGUGAAUGAGCAAUACGAAUCUUCGCCAUAUCGAGAGUUAUGCACCAACAAAGGAGAUGCCCCGCCAUAAAUCAACGAAUAUAAAUAAAAAAAGCAACACCUCGCCAUAUCGAAGAAUCGUAUUUCAGCAAACAAAGAACAACUUGCUUAUCAGAGACCCACUCCAUAGCAAGCGCGUAAGAAAGCCACUAUCACAGCAACAUCAAGUUCCAAUAGUGAUACAAUCAUUUAGUUCAUACUGAAGGUCGUGUUGCCAAUAUAAGGCAGUUUACCUAUGGAAAAAUAUCCCGCCGUUGGAUGCUUUACUUUUCAAACAAUGUUCGCCAGUUAGAUGCUAUUUACUUUUCAACAAAUGCUCAACCGACGGAGGCUAUUUACAUUUCGAUCAAUGAAGUCUAUUUACAUUUCAGCUGACGGAGGCUAUUUACAUUCAAGCAGCUGCUCAGCCGACGAAGGCUAUUUACAUUUCAGUCGAUGGAGGCUAUUUAUAUUAUUGUUUAGUCGAUGGAGGAUUUUACUUUCUAGUAGCUGCUCAGCCGACAUAGGCUAUCUAUAUUUCAGCCGACAGAGGCUAUUUAUAUUUCAAUCGAUAGAGGCUAUUACAUUUUAAUUGAUGAAGGCUAUUUACGUUUCAGCCGGUGGAGGCUAUUUAGAUUUCAGUUAAUGCCCCGCUAGUCGGAGGCCUCCACAAAUGGAGACAAUACUAGUUUGAAUGUCUGAACUCUACUCUUUACAUUACAAUUUAAAUUUACAAUUUUUUGAACAACAGGUACUUUUUACCCUUUUACCUAUUUUGCAGGAACAUGUAAUACAACGCGGAACUACCCUCUUAGCAGUAAACUGGGGCAAGCUAGCAGAAUGUCAAGCAUCCCUAGCUACGUCAAGGAUUCUGGCGAAGAAACUCAACUUGACUCGAAGUUUUCAUUUUUAUAAUUUUUAGUUCCAUAACCCAGCGCCAUCUUAAUCCGACACUGGAAAAUUUUUGAAAAUCCACAAUCUCCUUCUCUCUCAAAAUCAUCAACGGAUAUUUUAUCCAAUGUUUCCUUAUCCCAACUAUUUUGAGCAGCCAAUUUCGGGACUUACAUCUGUAUCUUUUGUAUUCGUGCUGAAAUCUUUAUUAUCCUCCUCAAAGAACCCGGUGUCACCAUAAUUCUAUACUGGGGCAAAUUUUGAGGUUCAUCAAACUUUGCUAUAAUUCGAAAUACAAAUGGCCUGAUUUCUCGUGAAGCCCGAGAUAUGUAGAAAGCUCGAAAACUAAAGCCCGACCAUAAUCUUUCAAACAUUUUGUUUUGCCCGAGACAAAAUUGAUUACGUCAACGUGAUUGCCCAAAGAUUUUCACACAAAUCUUCAAUCACUCAGGGAAACUGUUGACAGCUAAUUUUGGCUCUCACUUUUUCCUUUAACUAUUUUACCGAUGCUCCUCGGCCCUAAAUAAUUUUCAAAAAUUAACUAAAAAAGGAUUUGUAUUUUUGUUUCUAUUUCUACAAAUUUAAUGAAAGGGGGAUUUAUUUUUCUAUUAUAAUAUAAAAUAUUUUAACGAAUAUAAAAAUAUAUAUAUCUUUGAUAUUCGCAUUCACAUUCUUUCUAAUAUUUUAUUUUAGGGAGAUAUUGUGACCAUAUAUAUAUAAAUAUUCUAAUUACAUAAAAUAUAUAUUAUAUAAGAUGUACAUAUACUUUCUCUUAUUCUUGUUUUUAUAUAUUAUAUUCUUGUUUUUACAUGCACAUAUAUAUAUGCAUAUAGUUUGUUAAUAUUAAAUUGCAAAAAGAUAUUAAAUUGGACGCUUUAAGAAUUAUGUGUAUAAUUUAUAUAUGUUAAACUAAAAAAUAAUUUUUAGGAUAUCAGGAAGCAUCGAUAAAUUUAAUUUCAGCAGAAAAAAAGCAUUUGGGCUAACGAUAAUCCGAUUUCAUUUUUUUUGUUUCACCCGAACCCAACUCUUAUUUUAUGAAUUUCAGCCAAGAGCCUAAAAACUAGUAUAAUUCCUAUGUCUGCUUUGCCAUUCCACCUCAACAGAUACAAUUUAAUCUGAUUUAUUAAUUUAUUUUGAACCUGAAGGAUCCCAAAAUUUCUAGUUAUUUUUAUAUGUAGAUAUAUAAUUUAUUUUUUAUUUGUUUAACUGUCUAUUCAUAUAUAUAUAUAUAUAUAUAUAUUAUCUUUCCCCCUUCUUUUUUAAUUAGAUUUGAACCGUUCGAACGGAUCGAAAAAAGUCAUUUUAAAAUCAACCUUUCACAUAUUUACUCGUAUAUGCAUACAUUUUUAUUUUUCUUAUUUUGUUGCUAUUAUUAUUUUUAAGGGUAAUCACUUCAAAAUCGUCCGAUCUUUCAAACCCAAUCCAAAAACACCCGACUAGCACAGAUUAAUCUAGUCUGCAAAUUUUUCUUUCUAAUCCGAGGUUCCCGAAUUUUUAAAUGUUUAUAUAUAUAUAUAUAUAUAUAUAUAUAUUAAAAUUAUAAUUUACCUUUUUAUAUAUUUUUAAAAUUUAAACUAUUCUAAUCAAAAUCAAACAGAUCAGAAAUUAAUUGAUUUUAAAUUAAUUUUUUCAUAAUAUUUAUUUAUAUAUACGCAUAUAUAAAUAUUUGUAUAGUUAUUAUUUUAAGAUGAUGUUUUAAGAUCGGACGAAUCAAAAUUGAUCAAGAUUUUGAAAGAAUAGUGCAUUAAAUGCACAACUACCGCGUCUCCCAAAAAUUAGAAUAAGCGUAUGGUUUCUUCCAAAACAGUCAUUAACACCUCUCUUUCAUAUUCCCCCAAAUAAAUGUAGAAAAUACAGGAGCCUUUUUCUCUCUCCUUUUUUCUUUUUCUCCAUCAUACUAAAAACGCAGCCCUAGCACUGCCAUGGCUGUCGCUCCUAUGCAGGAAUCUCCUCAAAAUCGCCUCCCUUAACUCUCUAAAACCAAAAAUCAGAAAAGAAGAAGCACCAAAUUCAUGUAAAGAUGGAAAAUCGGUCCAAGGCUGCCAUUAAUGGCUUCAAAGUUGUGAGGAUUCGUUUCAAUAUUUUGAAAUCAAAUUCUCCUUCUUCUUCCCAAUUUUUUCAUUUUGAAUUUUCCAAUUUUGACUUUCAAGUCCGGAUUUGUACCUAUAAAUACAGUGUCUCUAUUUCCAUGGGGGGAUAAGAAAAGAGAGAGUAAAAAUUUGAGAGAAAAGCAAGUUUCAAAGAGGUAUAUCGAAUCUGUGGGGAAAGUAAGAAUAAUUGGGAAUUUCAAGUUCUAAAAGAGAGAAAAGAAAAAUGGAGUGAGGAGAUUUGGUCUUCCUUUUGAUUUUCAAAAUACAAGUUUAGGGAAUAGGUUCGGAUCAACUUCUGAAAAAAAGAAUUUUUUUCUUUUCAAAAUUGUUACUUCUUUCUGAUUUUGGGUCAAGUCGGAGUCCGAUAGUUGCGUUAUUUGUUGCCGAAAAAUCCUCAUCGUCGAACUUUGUUUUAAAUAUAUUAAAUUUCACAUUUAUAAUUGAAGUGAUCAGUNNNNNNNNNNNNNNNNNNNNNNNNNNNNNNNNNNNNNNNNNNNNNNNNNNNNNNNNNNNNNNNNNNNNNNNNNNNNNNNNNNNNNNNNNNNNNNNNNNNNNNNNNNNNNNNNNNNNNNNNNNNNNNNNNNNNNNNNNNNNNNNNNNNNNNNNNNNNNNNNNNNNNNNNNNNNNNNNNNNNNNNNNNNNNNNNNNNNNNNNNNNNNNNNNNNNNNNNNNNNNNNNNNNNNNNNNNNNNNNNNNNNNNNNNNNNNNNNNNNNNNNNNNNNNNNNNNNNNNNNNNNNNNNNNNNNNNNNNNNNNNNNNNNNNNNNNNNNNNNNNNNNNNNNNNNNNNNNNNNNNNNNNNNNNNNNNNNNNNNNNNNNNNNNNNNNNNNNNNNNNNNNNNNNNNNNNNNNNNNNNNNNNNNNNNNNNNNNNNNNNNNNNNNNNNNNNNNNNNNNNNNNNNNNNNNNNNNNNNNNNNNNNNNNNNNNNNNNNNNNNNNNNNNNNNNNNNNNNNNNNNNNNNNNNNNNNNNNNNNNNNNNNNNNNNNNNNNNNNNNNNNNNNNNNNNNNNNNNNNNNNNNNNNNNNNNNNNNNNNNNNNNNNNNNNNNNNNNNNNNNNNNNNNNNNNNNNNNNNNNNNNNNNNNNNNNNNNNNNNNNNNNNNNNNNNNNNNNNNNNNNNNNNNNNNNNNNNNNNNNNNNNNNNNNNNNNNNNNNNNNNNNNNNNNNNNNNNNNNNNNNNNNNNNNNNNNNNNNNNNNNNNNNNNNNNNNNNNNNNNNNNNNNNNNNNNNNNNNNNNNNNNNNNNNNNNNNNNNNNNNNNNNNNNNNNNNNNNNNNNNNNNNNNNNNNNNNNNNNNNNNNNNNNNNNNNNNNNNNNNNNNNNNNNNNNNNNNNNNNNNNNNNNNNNNNNNNNNNNNNNNNNNNNNNNNNNNNNNNNNNNNNNNNNNNNNNNNNNNNNNNNNNNNNNNNNNNNNNNNNNNNNNNNNNNNNNNNNNNNNNNNNNNNNNNNNNNNNNNNNUUAGUGCUCUACUUGAUUUUGCUUGACUUUUGAUUCAAAGGAAAAGGUGUGGAGCUUAAAUAACUCACUCAGAAUGCUUUUUAAAAGAUUACGUGGUACAAUUAGGUCAAAUAAACCCUUUUGGAAUAAGUAUUCAGCUACUUGUGAACCUUCGGGUACUGUUUUAUUCAAUGUUUGUUCAAUUACUCUUUUACCUGCAAAUGCAAUGUAGGCAUUGGGUUCGGCAAUAAUGAUAUCCCCCAACAUACCAAAACUAGCUGUCACUCCACCAGUUGUCGGAGAUGUAAGGAUUGAUACAUAAAAUAAUUUUUUAUUUAAUUGAUAAUCAUAUAAAGCAGACGAUAUUUUAGCCAUUUGCAUCAAGCUCAAACUUCCUUCCUGCAUGCGCGCCCCCCCAGAAGCACACACUAUAAUAAGAGGUAAAAUUUGAUUGGCAGCGUGUUCAAUCAAACGGGUGAUUUUCUCUCCGACUACGGAUCCCAUACUACCCCCCAUAAACUGAAAAUCCAUAACCCCAAUUGCUACGGGAAUGCCGUUUAUUUGGCCUAUGCCUGUUUGAACAGCCUCGGUUAAUCCUGUCUUUCUUUGAUAAGAAUCAAUACGAUCUUUAUAAGGCUCCUCUUCCGAAUGAAAUUCAAUGGGAUCCAGAGAGACCAUGUCUUCAUCCAUAGGAUCCCAAGUACCCGGAUCGACCAAAAGUUCAAUUCUAUCCGAACUACUCAUUUUCAAAUGAUAUCCACAUUGUUCACAAAUAUUCAUUUUUGAUUUAAAAAAUUUCUUAUAAUUUAAUCCAUAACAAUUCUCGCAUUGAACCCACAAAUGCCUGUAUUUUUGAGUUACCUCGAGAUCAUUAGAACUUUCUCUUAUAGUUAAAUCACUGCCAUUAGUUAAAUCACUGCCAAUAGUUAAAUCACUGCCAUUAGUUAAAUCACUGCCAAUAGUUAAAUCACUGCCAUUAGAACUUUCUCUUAUAGUUAAAUCACUGCCCUUUGUGCGAGUUUGUAUACUGGAACCCUCGUUUUCACUACUAUUUUUACUUUCACCACCACAAACGGCCCUAUAAAUGUAACUGUCACUGUAAUUCUCACUACCACUUAUAAUGGAAGUAUCUAUACAGAUUUGAGACUGAAGAUAAUUAUCAAUGCAACUAUUAAUGUGAUUAUUCCAACUAUAUUGAGUAUCAUACAUGUAAGAAUUAUAGUAGGGAUCUUCGCCCCUAAAUCCAUUAUUCAGAUAACUCGAGUUUCGAUAACUAUAAAAAGAACUUUCUAGUUCACUCAGAAAAGAAUGAUCGUUGUCAAUCUCAAAAAUCUGAUUUUCAAUAUCAAAAUAGAUGGAAUAACUGUCUCCAUUCCUAUCACUAACUACAAAAGUGUCAUCAGAGAUGAAAUUCCGAAUGUCUUUAACGCCGAAUAAAUAAUCAACAUUACUGCAACUAGGAAUGUUUUUCACUUUUCGAUUUGGAUCUUCACUGGUAUUUUCAAUAGGACCAAGACUGCCCAUUGAUUUAUUUAGCCCACACCUGCGUUCGAACUCCUUCUUAAACAACAUCGAAUUAAACCACCAUCUUUCCAUAGAGUUUUCUUGCCCCCUAUUUGCAUGAAAAUACAAUAGAUGAAUAGUCAUUCGCUAUAAAAUUAUUUAUUUGAAUAUCUUAUUUCCUAUCAGACUAAGCAUAGAAAUCCAAUCACUAGGAUUAUUAGUAGGAUUAUUAGUGAGUAUUGAAAAAAAGUUCUGAAUCUGGGGGAACACUUCACUAUAUAUUAAUAUGUCGGAACCCCCUUUUAUUAUUUUAUUAUUAAAAAUAAUAUAAAUAUAAUAAUAUAAUUUUUGAUAAGGGGCGGCUUCUCCUAUGUCGUGUCAAAUUCGCAUCGAAAAAAAGAGAUUUGUCCUCUCCUAUACUCCUAUAAAGAAAUCAAAAAAAUUUUCUUAAAAUCUCGUCUAAUACUAAUAUCUAAUCACUAACUAAUCUAAAAUCUAAUAAAAUAAUAAGUAAUAAAUUAAGCUUCCAUUUCAACACGGAACGGAACAAAGGGGACAAUAUACAGGAUGGGUAGAAAGAGUUGUGCUACUUGGCUUGAUUCAGGGAAACUACAAACUACAGGAUAGAAAAAAAUAUACCAAUCCUAAGAAUCCGUAGGAUUUAUUGUGGAUC
rnacentral:lncRNA from 1 species